GAUGAAGAACGUAGCGAAAUGCGAUAAGUAAUGUGAAUUGCAGAAUUCAGUGAAUCAUCGAAUCUUUGAACGCACAUUGCGCCCGCCAGUAUUCUGGCGGGCAUGCCUGUUCGAGCAUCAUUACAACCCUCAGGCCCCCGGGCCUGGCGUUGGGGAUCGGCGGAGCCCCCCGUGGGCACACGCCGUCCCCCAAAUACAGUGGCGGUCCCGCCGCAGCUUCCAUCGCGUAGUAGCUAACACCUCGCGACUGGAGAGCGGCGCGGCCACGCCGUAAAACACCCAACUCUUCUGAAGUUGACCUCGAAUCAGGUAGGAAUACCCGCUGAACUUAAGCAUAUCAAUAAGCGGAGGA
rnacentral:misc_RNA from 1 species